rnacentral:rRNA from 1 species
UACGUAGGGUGCAAGCGUUGUCCGGAAUUAUUGGGCGUAAAGAGCUCGUAGGCGGCUUGUCGCGUCGGCUGUGAAAACCUGGGGCUCAACCCCGGGCCUGCAGCCGAUACGGGCAAGCUAGAGUUCGGUAGGGGAGACGUGGAAUUCCUGGUGUAGCGGUGAAAUGCGCAGAUAUCAGGAGGAACACCGGUGGCGAAAGCGGCUCUCUGGGACGGUACUGACGCUGAGACGCGAAAGCGUGGGGAGCAAACAGG